rnacentral:piRNA from 1 species
UAAAUAGAUAUAGUAAUUAGU